UACCUUCAUCAGUGUCUGGACUUAAUGCUGGUAUACCUGUGCAGUGCUGCACCAGUGAUAAUAGAGGAUGUCCUAUGUGCACUAGGAGGUGUGAUUGGGAGGAGACAUCCAUCGAACACUCAGAGCCGACAGCUCAAACAGACCUUACCAACAAUGUCUGUAGUUCUUGAACUUCUCUCAUCUCAGGUCUUCAGAUCUCGAAUUGUAAACAAAGAGUUUUUGGUUCAGAUUGGAAUGUUACUG